rnacentral:rRNA from 1 species
UACGUAGGUGGCAAGCGUUGUCCGGAAUUAUUGGGCGUAAAGCGCGCGCAGGCGGUCCCUUAAGUCUGAUGUGAAAGCCCACGGCUCAACCGUGGAGGGUCAUUGGAAACUGGGGAGCUGAUGAUACAGAAGAGGAAAGCGGAAUUCCACGUGUAGCGGUGAAAUGCGUAGAGAUGUGGAGGAACACCAGUGGCGAAGGCGGCUUUCUGGUCUGUAACUGACGCUGAGGCGCGAAAGCGUGGGGAGCAAACAGG